UGGGGAAUCUUGCGCAAUGGGCGAAAGCCUGACGCAGCAACGCCGCGUGCGGGAUGAAGGCCCUCGGGUUGUAAACCGCUUUCAGCAGGGACGAAAAUGACGGUACCUGCAGAAGAAGCCCCGGCUAACUACGUGCCAGCAGCCGCGGUAAUACGUAGGGGGCAAGCGUUGUCCGGAUUUAUUGGGCGUAAAGAGCUCGUAGGCGGUUCCGUAAGUCGAGUGUGAAAAAUCUGGGCUCAACCCAGUGGAGCACUCGAUACUGCGGUGACUGGAGUACGGUAGAGGAGUGUGGAAUUCCUGGUGUAGCGGUGAAAUGCGCAGAUAUCAGGAGGAACACCAACGGCGAAGGCAGCACUCUGGGCCGGUACUGACGCUGAGGAGCGAAAGCGUGGGGAGCAAACAGGAUUAGAUACCCCCGUAGUCC
rnacentral:rRNA from 1 species